rnacentral:tRNA from 5 species
GCCGGUUUAGCUCAGCUGGUAGAGCAGCGGUUUUGUAAACCGAAGGUCGGGGGUUCGAGUCCCUCAACCGGCACCA